GAUGAACGCUGGCGGCGUGCUUAACACAUGCAAGUCGAACGGUAAGGCCCUUCGGGGUACACGAGUGGCGAACGGGUGAGUAACACGUGGGUGAUCUGCCCUGCACUUCGGGAUAAGCCUGGGAAACUGGGUCUAAUACCGGAUAGGACCACUGCCUGCAUGGGUGGUGGUGGAAAGCUUUUGCGGUGUGGGGUGGGCCCGCGGCCUAUCGGCUUGUCGGUGGGGUGAUGGCCUACCAAGGCGACGACGGGGAGCCGGCCUGAGAGGGGGACCGGCCACACUGGGAAUGAGAGACGGCCGAGACUCCUACGGGAGGCAGCAGGGGGGAAUAUUGCACAAUGGGCGCAAGCCUGAUGCAGCGACGCCGCGUGAGGGAUGACGGCCUUCGGGUUGUAAACCUCUUUCAGCAUCGACGAAGCGAAAGUGACGGUAGGUGCAGAAGAAGGACCGGCCAACUACGUGCCAGCAGCCGCCGUAA
rnacentral:rRNA from 1 species